GAUGAACGCUGGCGGCGUGCCUAACACAUGCAAGUCGAGCGAUCUUCUUCGGAAGAGAGCGGCAGACGGGUGAGUAACGCGUGGGUAACCUGCCCUGUACACACGGAUAACAUACCGAAAGGUAUGCUAAUACGAGAUAAUAUGCUUUUAUCGCAUGGUAGAAGUAUCAAAGCUCCGGCGGUACAGGAUGGACCCGCGUCUGAUUAGCUAGUUGGUAAGGUAACGGCUUACCAAGGCGACGAUCAGUAGCCGACCUGAGAGGGUGAUCGGCCACAUUGGAACUGAGGCACGGUCCAAACUCCUACGGGAGGCAGCAGUGGGGAAUAUUGCACAAUGGGCGAAAGCCUGAUGCAGCAACGCCGCGUGAGCGAUGAAGGCCUUCGGGUCGUAAAGCUCUGUCCUCAAGGAAGAUAAUGACGGUACUUGAGGAGGAAGCCCCGGCUAACUACGUGCCAGCAGCCGCAGUAA
rnacentral:rRNA from 1 species